CUUUUUUCUUCGCAGUACCAGAAUGUGGUAUGUAAAUCGUCCAUUUCCGGGAAAGAAGAAAGAGUGUUUAUGUUUGAAUCAGUGCAGUGUGUCCAAAGUACAGGAAAGGGACAGAAGCUGGCAAAAAGGACUCUGAAAAGUAGAGCACAGGGAAAUGUCCAAGAAACUAGUGUUCAACAUGUUCAGAGAAAGACCCGGAGUGGCAGAAUUCCAAAGAAGAAUACAAAAUACCUAUAGAAAAUAAUUUUUCCAGGAUUGUUAGAGUGAUUUUGAUGGCUGACAAGAAAUGAUGUAUUUAUUUCCUUAGGAAGUGUCAUUGUGAAAGAUUGGUGAGGAUGCAUAGUAAUGGAUAUAUGGGCAUAAUAGAUAAAAUGCACUGUUGAUGAGAUCAACAUGAAUGUAUAUACAGGGAAUCAUCAUCAACUCAACACAAUUUUUAUUGGAAUGUAGUGAUAAAUUGUACAAAUUCUGAUGCUAAAGAAAAGAUGGACCAUAGUAAUUCAGGAAACUUAAGGUGAGAACUUCAACAUGUGUGAUGUGGCAACUUUCAACCCGAGACAUUUUCAAGGCAGCACUACAGGUGGGGUCAUAGAGAAGGGGAACUUUGACCUGUACUGGAGUGACAAAAGAGGCUGGGGAGGGGAAUCCCGUGAACCCCACAUUUAUUCAGAUGGAUUCAGGCUUCUUUGACCAGGUCAACUAUUAUGAGAGGUAUGAUGCCAAUGCUGAUGGAGACAUUUUCUCAAAGUUUGAUGUCUGACAUUUUGUCUCAGAUAUUAGAAGAUGACAGCUCCAUAAAGUUUAUGCAUUUAAUCACAACCUGAAAAAUCUUCAGCUCUCAUUCAGCCAAGGGAGUAAUGGUUCUCUGAGUGUCCCCUCCACCCCUGGCAGUGCCUGGUCUGCAGUGACAGAUGAGAUGCCACCCAAGUCACAGGACAACACGUUUGAAUUGAGCCUUCCUAGUAACCCAGACUUGUCCUCCAUUAGCAACAACCUAUUAAAUUUCAGCUCCGAUAUCUUCCUAGAGGAUUUAGAAUCACUGCCAGCCAAAACAGGCAGACCAGAAAUUGAGCUAAAGUCCAAAAAAAGCCUGAAAAUCUGGCAUAUCUGGAUAAUCACUGAACAGAAAAUUUUCUCAGUAUGCCAAGACUCAGAACUUAUCACAGGGAAAUUUUGACAAGACUCACCUCCCAAAGUUUCUCCUCGAAGUUCACCCACCUUUGGUUUUUUUCACCCAGCAGUUAUCAUAACUUGAAAUCAUAACCAAUGAAUUCUCCAAAUAUCUUGGACAUUGUAACCUUGAAGCUCCAGUAAACAGGGAAAUUUGUUGCAUGCAGGAGUUGGAAAUUGUAGUGAGAGUUUUCAGACAAUCAAGACAGGGGACAGUAAAAAUGUACUACAGUCAAUCUGAGUCGGCACCCUAAAUACCAUGAGUUACCAGAGAUGUGCUGCUUCAGGGCAGAGCACUACUGUAUCACUGAAUGGGAACAACUUCCAGGCAUUUGAAAGGUCUUGUCUUCAGUCACCAGUGCAAAGAAAUUCACUGUACAAUCCAAACCUCAGAUCAGGCCACAGGAAAUUUCCCAGCUGUCAGCUUCCUACCAGUCUGUGUUACCCGGGGGUAAACCUCAGACAGGGAGACCUAAUGCUCACAUCUCUCAAGCCUUAAGCUUUAGGCAGAAAGUGGCCAAAAUGACCCUCCCAGCUCUACCUCAGCCAACCCUGAAGUCAAAUACACACACCAGAUGACGGACAAGCCACACCUACCACCUUCAGCCAACCCCCACUCUCUAUCACAAACAACUCUCCAGGGAUAAACUGUCAAUGCAAGACUUUCAAACACCAGAUUAAAUGUGGAUGUGGAAAUGAUGUCUAUAUAUCCAGGUCCCUGAUAUCCUGUAUUUGGUCAUCAGAACUGUGCCACAGUACCUGGAAACUUGAUAACUAGAGGAUAUUGAGUAGGUUUUCGGUUCCUCCGUUUGCACUUUGUAGAGAAUCAGUUGGCUUUUGGCACAGUAAUCUUUGUUGUACUUAAGGGGAGUAGCAUUACAGUUACACAAGGGAAUAAGAUGAAGCAGUGCUGAAUUAGGUUUAAGGAAAUGAACUGAAAGAAUUUAGUGGAACAGUUUAUGGAUUUGGAUAAAAUUCUGUUGGGAAAGUUUACACAAAAGCAAUUUUCUAAAAGGAUGCCGAGGACAGUGGACAACACGAAUACAGCUUUAAAACAAUUAAAAACUGGAAGGCAAAGCCCAUUUCUUGGUUGACUUGUCAGUGAUUUGAAUAUGGAAUAGUCCCUGUCAAGUCAUUGUCAAGGCAUCAUUUACCUUGAAACUGGAAAAGACUUUAUCUUACAUGCUUUCGUUUCUGUGGUCAUAUUACUUUCAAUGUUUCAUAUCUUGAGAAUAACUCUGCCAGUGUGGAUGAUGAUAUGGAGUCUCUAGUUUUAAAUGUUCAUGUGAACUACAUCCAUAUGCAUAUUUUUACUGGAAUUCUGUUGUGAAUAGUCAUGAUAGUGCAUAUCCUUUCUAUAUUUCUCUAUUUCAUAUGAAUGUUUGUGUAUUUUAUUUUUUUUUUUCUGAACCAAAAAAUAAAUGUUUUUGAACAUUAUUUUAAUGUUAGAGGAAAAAUAAAUGUAAAGAACUGUGUAGAGUUCUAUCAGGAAUGUACAUACAACUAUAUACUUUAUUCUUCACAUCUUAGGAUAAAACUUGUAACUUACCGGAUUAUUUUUUCAUACAUGUAUUUAUUCCAUUUUUAGCGUACCUGAGCCAAAAGCUCAAGUGAGUUUUUCUGAUCAUAUAUUGUUUGACAUUUGUCAGUUCGUAAAUUUUUAACAAUUUAGACUUUUUCUCAAAAAUCACUGUGCCAAGAAAGAUUUCCUUAUGGGGAAACAUUCUCAGAUAGUGUAGAAUCAACUUUGUUGAAAUUAUGACCCCUGGAGGUAGGGUUGGGCCACAAUGUCUGACCAGAGUUUUACAUUGGAAUAUAUAGAAAAAAAAAUUCAAGGACAUCAAAGUCAUAAUUUGUAUUUUAGUUGGGCAGGAGGGGGGGGGAGGGCAACAAUGUCAGAUCAAAUGAAAAGGUAGUAAAAGAAAUAUGCAAGCAUCUUUAGUAGUGUAGAUUCAAGUUUGUUCAAAUCAUACCCUCUUCUUCUUAAGGGAUAGCUGGGAGUACUAUUGGGUUUAAACUUUUCAAUAGUAAACUGCAUGGCUUUUGCUUCUUUUCCUAGCUACAGUGCUCAGGUGAGCAAUGUUGCCCAUGGGCCUCUUGUUUCUUUCAAAGAGUGACACACAAUUUCCAAUUAUUUUUAUGUGUGAAUAUGCCUUUUUUUUUUAAUUUGUUGUUAGCUCUAAAUAGAAUCUCCAUCACUAGUUUUUAGCUUUACUGGUCAAAGAUUCAUAUUUCUGUUUAUUGUUGGUUUUUUUAUUUGAUUUUGAUGAAAUGUGAUGCCAUGCUUAACAAAAAUAGAAAAUUCUUUAAAAUAAUUUUUAAAUUGCUACUCCUCCAGCUUUUGUCUGAUUACAACAAAUUUUGUCAAGAAGAAGGCUAUUAACAAAUGAUAAAUUUUCAAUGUUUGCUGUUGCAAAGUUUCAAGUUCAAAUGCUAUUUUUCGCUAGUUUUGUUACAAGUUUAAACCAAUAGAGCUGCAGUCUCAUCAGAAACUUCUGGUUAAAUAGUUUCUAAGUCAAUAACAUGAAUAUUGGUCCUUACAUGUAUCAAAUAGGUGAAUAACUUCUAUGUAUUUUCAAAAUUAUAAGAUUUUAUGGAUGAGAGGAAACAAUUUUACUAUUUUGAUUGAUGAAAAAUGAACAGUUAGGUUUUGUUUGUAUGUUUUUCUUUUUUCAUUGUGAAUUAUUUCUCAUGAUUUUUUUUUUUGUGGUCAUAUAUUGUGUAUAUGAUGUCAAGUGUAUAUAUAUAUAUAU